CCGGAAGCCAACCGGGCAGGGAGCCUCCGCCAGGAGUUCAUUGUCUGCGCCUUGCAGGCCGGUCACAGGUCCCCCAGGGAGCGCUGUGGACGUCCUCACAGUGUGCCAGGAUCACCAAUUAUCUGAUUGCUCUGCAUGGCUGUCUUUAAGGAGAGUGCUGUUUCACCUAUCUUCUUGCACAAAGAAAAUCUGAAAGUCCUGAGUUCCCUAACCUGGUCACGGAAGAGGCGGUCACCUGGAGCAGGGGCUUGCAGAACCAUCUCUCUCGCCCCACAGAACAGGGUGUAGGAGAUACCCUGGCCCUGCCCACCACCACUACAGACUGCAGGUGACGGGCUCCAUCAGGAAACUCUGUCCAUCUGAGGACACUAAUGGUGGCCCCCAAAGUUAUUAUUAUGAACCACCAGACAAGAACCUGUGUUCGCUAACAAUUUGUCAGAACUAAUUUUGUUUUUCUCCAAUAAUUGAAAAUUAAUGUCUUGAAGUGAAAGCAGAUGUUCAAGUCAUCUUCUGAAUUGGGAUAUAAAAUGGGGCUCUGUGGAUGUGCUCACUAAUCUAACAGCAAUUUCCCUCUCCUCCAUAAUGGGGGUUGCUCGGCCUUUGUCACCCAAGGCCAGAGAUUGGGAGCUGAGAGAAGGGGGCCUGGGUGGCACUCCUUGUGCUCCUUGGGGGUUUGUUUGGGAGGGAG
rnacentral:lncRNA from 1 species